rnacentral:tRNA from 1 species
GGUGCUGUGGCUCAGUGGUAGAGCACUUGCCUAGCAUGUGUGAGGCACUAGGUUCAAUCCCCAGCACCA